rnacentral:ncRNA from 1 species
UCUCAAGCGUGAGGUAAGAGCAUUUGGUGGAUGCCUUGGCAUGUACAGGCGAAGAAGGACGUGGCACGCUGCGAUAAGCGUCGGGGAGCUGUGAGCAAGCUUUGAUCCGACGAUUUCCGAAUGGGGAAACCCACCUUCACCAUUUCUCUCAGAGCAUGGUUCGCCAUGAGUUGAGUGAGGUGGAUAAGGUAUCACCGAGUUGAAUACAUAGACUUGGUGAAGCGAACCCGGGGAACUGAAACAUCUAAGUACCCGGAGGAAAAGACAUCAACCGAGAUUCCGUUAGUAGUGGCGAGCGAACGCGGACCAGGCCAGUGC